rnacentral:rRNA from 1 species
UACGGGGGGGGCAAGCGUUGUUCGGAAUUACUGGGCGUAAAGGGCUCGUAGGCGGCCAACUAAGUCGGAUGUGAAAUCCCCAGGCUCAACCUGGGAACUGCAUCCGAUACUGGAUGGCUUGAAUUCGGGAGAGGGAUGCAGAAUUCCAGGUGUAGCGGUGAAAUGCGUAGAUAUCUGGAGGAAUACCGGUGGCGAAGGCGGCAUCCUGGACCGACAUUGACGCUGAGGAGCGAAAGCCAGGGGAGCGAACGGG